rfam:Sunxiuqinia dokdonensis strain SK contig00176, whole genome shotgun sequence.
CUCAAGUGGAGACCAGAACCCACUGAAAAAACGGGGCGAAUCCGAAAAGCCAUACGAGUAGGAAGAUU